GUGGGGAAUAUUGGACAAUGGGCGCAAGCCUGAUCCAGCAAUGCCGCGUGGAUGAAGAAGGUUUUCGGAUUGUAAAGUCCUUUCGGCGGGGACGAUGAUGACGGUACCCGCAGAAGAAGCCCCGGCUAACUUCGUGCCAGCAGCCGCGGUAAUACGAAGGGGGCUAGCGUUGCUCGGAAUGACUGGGCGUAAAGGGCGCGUAGGCGGAUGGCUUUGUCAGACGUGAAAUUCCAGGGCUUAACCUUGGGGCUGCGUUUGAGACGGGUUGUCUUGAGUUCGGAAGAGGGUCGUGGAAUUCCCAGUGUAGAGGUGAAAUUCGUAGAUAUUGGGAAGAACACCGGUGGCGAAGGCGGCGACCUGGUCCGAGACUGACGCUGAGGCGCGAAAGCGUGGGGAGCAAACAGG
rnacentral:rRNA from 1 species